rnacentral:lncRNA from 1 species
AGGCCUGACUUGGCAUUUUUCUUCUAGUCUCUCAUAGAAACUUCUGGCCUCUGGACACUGUGGGAGCAACUUUUCCUUUAUUAGACUGUCUCCUCUUUAACUGUACCUAGAAGAUACUUUAGCACAGCAAGCAUCUCUUUUAUGCUUACAUUAUGCAGUUAUGCAGACUUGGUGUACGUCCUUCAAGGACAGUCUAAGAAUCUUUGAUUCUAUUUCUGCUGGAUACAUUGUUGCAGAGAUGAAUAUUGCAGCAUGACUGGGAAGCCUGUCCUUCAUUACUUCAAUUGAAGAAGAAGAAUGGAGUCCAUCCGGUGGCUCCUGGCAGCAGCUGGAGUAGAGUUUGAGGAAGAACUUUUUGAAACCCAUGAAGAGUUUGAGAAGUUAAUCCAAGGUGGAACCCUGAUGUACGAGCAAGUGCCCAUGGUGGAAAUCGAUGGAAUGACUUUGGUGCAGACCAGUGCCAUCUUAAGAUAUGUAGCUGCAAAAUAUGACUUGUAUGGAAGGAACCUGGAGGAACAAGCCUGAAGAGAAGGAGAUGAACCUUGAAUACAUCCUCCACCGAGCUACAACAAGAUUCUUCCCCGUUUAUGAGAAGGCCCUGAGAGACCACGGGCAAGACUUUCUUGUGGGCAAUCGGCUGAGCUUGGCUGAUGUCCAGCUCCUUGAAGUCAUCUUAAUGGCUGAAGAAUGCAAAGCCAGUGUUCUCUCGGGUUUCCCUCUGCUACAGGACUUCAAGGUGAGAACCAGCCAAAUUCCUACAAUUAACAGCUUCCUCCAACCUGGAAGCCAGAGGAAGCCUCCUUUGGAGGAGCGAUCCAUUGGGACUGCAAAGGACAUAUUCAAAUUUGAAUGAGGACUGUUUCUUAAAAACAUGAGCAAUAUAGUAGCUGAGUAUUAACAGCUACAGAGGCUGGAGUUACUCAGUAAGUAUACUGAGUAACUUGACACUGCAUUCAUAAAAAGACACUCACUAAGUAUAUGGCCAGAGAAAUAUCCUGAAGUUAGUAAUAAAUGUUAGGAAUCUUAGUAUGUUAGCAAUGUUAGAAUGUUAGUAAUGGAAAUAUUAAAUGUGUAAGAGAAAAACUACUAGAAGCUUAUCAAUAAACUACAAGAACCAACUCUUGUUUGAAGUAAGACAGGCUACCAAGACAGAAUUCAGAAAAUCCAAGGAGCCCUCGGCCUUCUGUAUGAUCCUAGAAUAAACUUGUAUGUAGCAAGUGAAA